UCCGUAGGGUGCAAGCGUUACUCGGAAUUACUGGGCGUAAAGCGUGCGCAGGCGGUUUUGUAAGACUGUCGUGAAAUCCCCGGGCUUAACCUGGGAAUGGCGAUGGUGACUGCAAGGCUAGAGUUUGGCAGAGGGGGGUAGAAUUCCACGUGUAGCAGUGAAAUGCGUAGAGAUGUGGAGGAACACCGAUGGCGAAGGCAGCCCCCUGGGUCAAAACUGACGCUCAUGCACGAAAGCGUGGGGAGCAAACAGG
rnacentral:rRNA from 1 species